rnacentral:rRNA from 1 species
UACGUAUGGUGCAAGCGUUAUCCGGAUUUACUGGGUGUAAAGGGAGCGCAGGCGGUGCGGCAAGUCUGAUGUGAAAGCCCGGGGCUCAACCCCGGUACUGCAUUGGAAACUGUCGUACUAGAGUGUCGGAGGGGUAAGUGGAAUUCCUAGUGUAGCGGUGAAAUGCGUAGAUAUUAGGAGGAACACCAGUGGCGAAGGCGGCUUACUGGACGAUGACUGACGCUGAGGCUCGAAAGCGUGGGGAGCAAACAGG